rnacentral:rRNA from 1 species
GACGAACGCUGGCUGCGUGCCUAAUACAUGCAAGUCGAGCGAAGCGGCGGAUGGGUGAGUAACGCGUGGGUAAACUGCCCUUAAGUCUGGGAUAACAUUUGGAAACAGAUGCUAAUACAGGAUACUAAAUGAGGGACUUGCGAUGCAUUAGCUAGUUGGUAAGGUAACGGCCUACCAAGGCGAUGAUGCAAAGGCGAGGUGGGAGACGGAUCGGCCACAUUGGGACUGAGACACGGCCCAAACUCCUACGGGAGGCAGCAGUAGGGAAUCGUCCACAAUGGACGAAAGUCUGAUGGGUCAACGCCGCGUGAGUGAAGAAGGUUUUCGGAUCGUAAAGCUCUGUUGUUGGUGAAGCGGUAAUCAACCAGAAAGUCACGGCUAACUACGUGCCAGCAGCCGCGGUAAUAC